GUUUAUGUAGUUUAGUCAAAACAUUACAUUUUCAAUGUAAAAAGAAAAGGUUUCUUUUCAUAAAUA
rnacentral:tRNA from 1 species